GGUACCGCAGACUUAUCUGUGCGUGGAACGUGGUUUUUGAUUCGCUUGUUUAUAAAUUUCUGCUUAAUAAAAGUUUGUUUAUGAAUUCGAAUUUUUAACGCUGGAAAGUUUAUCGAAUGUUAUAAAGAUAGUAUGAUAAAUUUAACAUCUCUUGACAUAAGUAACGCUAUAAAUAACCUAGAGAUAAUUAGCAAUGCUUGUGUAAUGUCAGAAUUGUAAUGUUAAGUUGCUGUAAUCAUGUCGAAUCUCAACGAUAUCCAUACUGCAGGGCUAGUAUUAGCUAGAGGUGGAAGUAAAGGAAUUCCCAAGAAAAAUAUCCGAUUGUUGUCUGGUAUUCCUCUUCUAGUUUGGGUGUUACGUCCAAUGAUAGACUGCAAAAAGUUUCAGUCUAUAUGGGUUUCAACUGAUGAUGAUGAUAUUGCUCAAAUUGCAACUUCUUGGAAUGUUCAGAUCCAUUAUCGUUCCAAAAAGGUAGCAAAAGAUACUUCUUCUUCAUUGGAAAGUGUACAAGAAUUUUUGAGCUAUCAUCCAGAAAUUGGAAUAAUAGCAUUAAUUCAAUGCACUUCUCCAUGUCUUCAUCCAUCAUUUUUAACAAUUGCAUAUGAAAUGAUGAUUAAUUUUUCAUAUGAUUCAGUAUUUUCAGUCAUGAGACAACAUAAACUACAAUGGAAAGAAGUUGAAUUUGGCAAUAGUACAUAUCCUAUUAAUUUUGAUGCUAGUCAUAGACCAAGGAGACAAGAUUGGUGUGGUGAACUAGUGGAAAGUGGUCAUUUUUAUUUUUCUUCUGUGGACUUAAUCAAAAAAGAUGUGGUUAUGUAGAAAUUCCCAAAGAAAUGUGCAUAGAAAUUGAUUCAGAAUCAGACUGGAAAAUUUCAGAAUGUCAAGUCCAGUUAUAUGGUUAUAAAGGUGUAGGAAGUAAAUUAUAAAAUACAAGAAUGAUGUUAGAAUAGAUCAAAGGAAAUCAAUGGAUUCAUAAAGUAAAUCUUAGUACAGAAUAUGUUAUUUAUCUGAUAAAAGUUAAUGAUGUUAUAUUUAUUACAAUAAAAUAAAAUCAUAAAAAAAAAUCUGCUUUUAA
rnacentral:misc_RNA from 1 species